rnacentral:lncRNA from 1 species
AAAACAUAGUGGAAACCUCCAGGACACUGGAUUUGGCAAUGAGUUCUUGAUGACAACACCAAAGGCAGAAGCAACAAAAGAAAAAUUAGACAAAUUAGAUUUCAUUAAAAUUUUAAAAUAAAAAAUAUUUUAAAAUCUGUACAACAAGCCACUAUCAACAGGGUAAAAAAAAAACAAACCACAAAACAGGAGAAUAUAUGUGCAAAUCAUGUAUCUGGUACAGGAUUAAUAUCCAGGGUACAGAGAACUCCUAAAGUUCAACAACAGGGCAGCCCUGGUGGCGCAGCGGUUUAGCGCCGCCUGCAGCCUAGGGCGUGAUCCUGGAGACCCUAGAUGGAGUCCCACGUCGGGCUCCCAGCAUGGAGCCUGCUUCUCCCUCUCCCUAUGUCUCUGCCUCUCUCUGUGUCUCUCUGUCUCUAUGAAUAAAUAAAUAAAAAAUCUUUUAAAAAAAAUAAAUAAAGUUCAACAACAAAACAACCUGAUUCAAAAAUGGACCAAGGGCUUGAACAGACAUUUCUCCAAAGACGUAAAAUAAGCACAUGAAAAGUGCUUAUGGCCCAUAAGUACGUGAAAAGAUGUUCCUAUCAUUCAUCAUUAGGGAAAAGGAAAUCAAACCUAUAAUGAGAGGCGCACCCGGCUGGCUCAGUUGGUAGAGCAUAUGACUCUUGAUCUCCAGGUUAUGAGUUUGAGCCCCACAACAGGUGUAGAGAUUACUUAAAAAAACAACCACAAUGAGAUACCACCUCAUACCCAUGAGGAUGACUACUUUCCAAAACAAAAAUAAAAAUAACAGAAAAUAAGUGUUGCCAAGGAUAUGUUGAAGUUUGACUCCUUGUGCACUAUUGGUGGCCACUGUGAAAAACAGUAUAACAGUUCCCCCCAAAAAAAUAAAUUGUCAUAUAACCCAGCAAUUCCAUUUCUCCAUAUAUAACCCAAAGAUUUAAAAGUGGGGUCUCAAAGAGAUACGCAUUUUUACGGCAGCAUUAUUUACAAUAGCUAAAAUGUGGAAGCAACCCAAGUGCCCAUUGACGGAUGAAUAGUUAGGCAAAAUGUAGUAUAUACAAUAGAACAUUCAGCCUUAAAAAGGAAACUGUGCAUCUGCUACAACAUGAACUUUGAGAACAUUAUGCUAAGUAAAACAAGCCAGACACAAAAGGACAAACAUUGUAUGAUUCCAUUUUUAUGAGGCACUUAAACUAGACAAAAUCACUGAGACAGAAAGUAUAAUAGUGGGUUGCCAAUGGCUGGGAAGAAGAGGGAAGGAAGGGGAAGUUAUUGUUUAAUGCACACAGAGCUGCAAUUUUGCAAAAUGAAGAGUUCUGAAGACGGACACUGGUGAUUAAUGCACAACAAUAUGUACUUAAUAUCAAGCUGUACACUUAAAAAUGGUUAGUGCAGUAAAUUUUGUUGUAUGUAUUUUACCACAAUCAAAAAAAAAUUGUAAGUCAUAAAUCCAAAGAAGGGAAGACUUAAAUACCCGAGGAACCUUCAAUGGAAACAAUGGUACUUGAGUUGGACUUGAUGGAUGACAAUGUGUAGAAAGAAGCCAAAUAGGAGUUGUAGAAUAAUCAUUAAAAAAUUUAGUGAUGGGAAUGCUCCCACUUUCAUCUAUAAUUGUGCCUGCCUGUUUCUGAGAAAUGAAACAGGUCAACAUUUAAACAUUAUUUUUCCAGAAACUAGACAUGAAUCACCAAAAGUUUAUAAUUUCUUUAAAAGUCAGCUUCCAAAUAUUCAAUAUGGGUGAUUUUACAUUCUGUAGUUAUUCCCACAUAUAUGCCAGUAAAAGGUAACUCAGUCUUCUCAAGUAAUGCCAAGUAUCCUAAGAGAACUCUUAGAAUAUCCCCAGUUCUUCUCUCUCAUCCUUUACAAGGCUGCUGUCAUUAAUUUCACUUACCCAUAAACCGUCUGCAAUGCUAUCACUAAUAACAGUGGACACAAGUCCUUGCACAUUAGUCAAAACUCACAGAAUGUAUAUCAGAAAGAGUAAACCCUAAUGUAAACUAUGAGUUCACAAACUGUAACAAACAUAAGUUAACUAAAGGAUAAACAGGAAUGGAGUAGAAUACAUGGGAACUUCAUACUUCCUUUUCAAUUUUCCUGAAAUCUGAAACUACUCAAAAAGUAAUGUUUUUUAAAAUUUGAGGUGAUAGGGGCUGGCUCAGUCAGUUGGGCACCUGCCUUCAGCUCAGGUCGUGAUCUGGGGGUCUUGGGAUCCAGCCCCUGUUGGGCUCCCUGCUCAGAGGGGAGCCUGCUUCUCCCAGCUAGCUCACGUACACGCUCUCUCAAAUAAAAUCUUUAAAAGGUUUGUUUUUUUUUAACUUUGUGAUUACAAAUUAUGUACUACUUUAGGAUAAAUCUUUCCAUUGAUCCUCUUGGCUCGAAUAUUUAUGUCAUUUUUUUUUUUUUUUGUAAACCGAACUGAAUUCCAUUUAUUUCUAAAUUUAAAAAUGAUCAUCUGUGACAGAUGGGAAUCUGCCAAAGGUGGGGGCUGGGAACUGGGGGGAUGGGCUUAUUACUCCAAGGUUUCGUCAUUUACAUGACCCCAGAACUUCUUCCGUAACAACUAUUGUUUUUUUAAAGAUUUUAUAUAUUUAUUCACAAGAGAUGGAGAGAGAGAAAGGCAGAGACACAGGCAGAGGGAGAAGCAGGCUCCACGCAGGGAGCCCAUGUGGGACUCGAUCCCGGGACCCCAGGAUCAUGCCCUGAGCAGAAGGCAGAUGCUCAACCACUGAGCCACCCAGGGGUCCCUUUCUGUAACAACUGUUAAAAAUAUUUGGAAAAUAUUGUUAUUCUAGCUUCCAGUUAGAAGUAUGGGUCUGAGGGGGAAACUAAGUACACUUUUGAGGAUAUAAUGUGAUGGAUUAGCAUUGUGAUGGAUUGUUAAUACAGUGUUAUAUACUCAAAAAUUGCCAAGAAAAAAGUAAUCAUGUGCUUAGAUAUGAUGAAGGUAUCACCAAAUACAGUGGAGGUGAUCAUACUGCAAUACAUGUGUAUCAAAUCAACACACUGUACACCAUAAACUUAGACAAUGCAUAUGGCAAUGACAUUUCAAUACAUCUGGGGAGGAGUGAAAAGUAAAAAGUAAAAAAUAAACAUCUGGCACAAAAAAAACAGUGCCAAAGAAAAUGUAUACUUCAGAAACUACCUAGGGAAGGUUGGUGUAAGAGAAAAACCAACAUCCGAAAUUAAUGAUGUAUUAUAUAUUGACUAAAUGAUUUUAAAUAAGAAAUGAGAGGAAAACUGAAUUUAUUUUUCUAACCUCAUUUACAUCACUAACAAACUAAAUGACCUCUAACAUUUCACUUCCCCAUCUGGGCCAAUAGUUUCCUUUUCUACUAAUUAUUAAAAAAAAGAUAGGGUGGUUAUCUAGACUGGACUAUUUUCUAAGUCACUUUCAGAGGUAAAAUCCAUUGAUUAUGAGAAAAGUAUCAGCAUUCUGGGGAACCUAUCUUUCAUUCACAGCAAAUUAUCUAUUAAUCAUAUUACAGGAAGGAUAAGGUCAAGGCCAGUGAAACCAUGUAAACUGACAAAAAUAUGUGCAUGAACUUAAGUAGAGAGUUUGCUGAGUUUACUGUAGGGACGCCCAGCUGGCUCAGUGGUUGAGCAUCUGCCUUUGGCUUGGGCGUGAUCCCGGGGGUCCUGGGAUCGAAUCCCGCAUCAGGCUCUCUACAUGGAGCCUGCUUCUCCCUCUGCCUGUCUCUCUGCCUCUCUCUCUCAUGAAAAAAUAAAUAAAAUCUUUUAAAAAGAGAGACAGAGUUUACUAUUUUAAUCAAAUAAAGGACCGAAAUAACUGCCAUCUAUUGGUAUACAUGAUUAUUACUGUGCAUCAUACUAAGUACUAAGCAAUUCAAGGAAAAUGUUUAUAAUUGGAAUUUUUUUUUCCAGAGAUAAACCAAAAUCAGUCAAGAAACAAAAAGGUUCAUGAAGCCAUUCUAGUAUUACUGAAAACAUCUUCAAGAGGCAAUUAAGGGGCAGAACUGUAGUAGAAGAUACCAACUUUUACUUAAAUCAGCCAAGAAUUUUUACUUCUCUAACAAAUGACAUUCAGUUUAGAAAAUUAUCUUUUUCUCCUUCCCAUUCCCACAACCAGACAAUGCAUAAAAAAAAAAAAAAAAAAAAA